UCCGAAUUGGUGUAGUGGCUAACAUAUGUCGCUCUCAACUUUCUCUGCCUCCGCAGCUGAAGUGAAGUCCCGACAUGCCCGGGGUUCGAUUCCCCGAUUCGGAG